rnacentral:lncRNA from 1 species
CACCGGCUGCAGCUGAACUUCAUGUCGAACGCACCUCUUAAUUCUUUAAUCGCUCUCGCGGUACUUUGAAAUCACGCACCGAUUGCCAAGAGCACGUGGCUAUCCUUGUCGCGUGCCUCUCCGCGUGAAGUUGACAAGGCGUGGAUGAUGCUUUUUUUAUCAUGGCGGUGCACGUUAAAUAUGGAAACGUCGAACAGGACAAAUGCAGUGGGAGCCUGGCAAUAAGGUCAUCAGGGUUUCCUGCAAAAACGAUCUGAGGAACCACAUAUACUUGACUGUCACUUCCGAGGAAGUGGCAAGUGUGAUUGACGUUGGACACCCCGAUCACUUCAACGACCGUUUCUUGCAUCUGGCCUUCUGCGAUCUAGUUGUGUAGUUUGAAGAAUGGAACUUUCCAGUUCCUGUUUCCUGGACGCAGGGACGUAGGUGGGUGAUGAGGACCUCAUCACCAACAAAAAGCUCAGUCAAAGCUGCCUCCCUCCACAGUGAAACACUGAAGGUCCCCUCCAGGCAUUUUAUUUUUAGGUCCACUAUUGGCACUCUUGCCCUUGUCAUCCUCACCCCAUGGAACUGCAAAAGAGCAAUUUACGGGCUGAUGUGUCCUCCCCUGGAAAAAAUGUCUGGUUCACCACCAGUCAUCUCUGGUGAAGGAGGACAGAGUGCCUCCUUGGCAGAUGUCUGUGCAGCUUCAGAGAAGUUGUGUGGCGUUGUUUUAAAUUUUAAACUGCCUGGUCCCACAAACAGGUACAUCUGCCCGAACUUGUUGGAGAGGGUAUGCUUCUGGAGGAUGUAACUCACCCCUUCCUCGAAUUCUGGGGUUGAUCCCUCUUUUUUAUUAAGGUAACAGAUCACCCCAUCAGUAAGAGCGGAAAUGGUCUCCGUCUUUGUUUUUGAAAUUUCUAUUUUCAUUCCAAUAGUGGAGUAACUCAGUGCUCUUCUGUGAAUGCGUGUUGCAACACACAAACAUUUCAAAAGGCCUGUGGUUGGUGGUGAAGUUUCCAUGCUGCAGAAGAGAGAAAGACAAAGGAUGCAGUUAGAACGAAACCUUUCGGAUUUUGAAUAUUUGGUUUUGAAGAAGUCCAUUAAUCACUUCGCAUGCACCAUGCAUGGACAGACUUGGAGGGAAAAAUGUGGAGGCCACUAAUGUGGAAUGUAUACAGCCUAGUUUUUUUUUUUUUCUUCAAAAUGGUGUUAAAUCUUUUUGUAGUUAAGUGUAUAGUUUGUAUGUGAUAUGUAAAUAGUUUUUAUAGCGAUAUUAAGUUUAUUUUAUAAAGUUUAAUCGUACAUACUGUUUAAAGGUUUGUAUGUGCAAUGUAUAUAGUUUUUUAUAAUGGUAUUAAAUCUCUUUGUAGUUCAUUAAUGUAUGUAGUUUGUAUGUGAUAUGUAAAUAGUUAUUAUAGCUAUGUUUAUUUGUAGUUCAUACUAAUGUUUAUAGGUUUGUAUGUGCAAUGUAUAUAGUUUUUUUAUAAUGGUAUUAAAUCUCUUUGUAUUUCAGUCUAAUGGAUGUAGUUUGUAUGUGACAUGUACAUAGUUUUUUAUAACGAUAUUAAGUUUAUUUUAAAACGUUUAUUUGUAGUUUAUGCUAAUGUUUAUAGUUUGUAUGUGCAAUGUGUAUAUCGUUUUUGUAACCUUAUUUUAAAACGUUUAUUUCUAGUUCUAAAGAAGUGUUUUUUUUUUAAACAUUCUAGCCGUUUUAUGUGUGAAAAUUGUGAUAUUGUAUAUUCGUUGCUUAGUGUGUUGUUUUACUAUUCAAAAACUUUAACUAGCUUAUUUCGUCAAUAUUGCCACAUUGUCCAGUUUAUUUAUUAUUUUUUUUAUUAAACCGCUAAAUGUAUACGUUUGCAGUUUGUUUUUAUUCUGAUAUGUGCAAUUAGCCUACUAAACACUUCCAUUAGUAUUUUCAACGAUUAUGGUCCUAAUAUAAAAUGUAUAGGCCUAAUUAGGUUCAUGGUUAGGGUUGGUAAUACAGAUGUAUUGUAGUAGGCUAUAUUGGCAUCAAGAUUAAAUUGGGUAGCCUUGCCUGUAGCCGUUUGGUGCUAUUUGCCGCAUGCACUCUUAUAAACAAUGCACUUUUUGUCAACGCUAUUAGCCUAGUAAAAUAACUUAAAUAUAAUUCAGAAUAUUGCUCUUUGAUUUAUUAACCAUUUAAACAUUUGUUAAUUUUUGUUACUCAUAGUCUUCUAAAUAGAAAAACUAUCUUAAAAUGACACUUUUUUAUCUAAAAAAAAAUAAUACAACAAAAUGUUUAUAUAAAUAAAUUCGUUGACCAAAAUAUGCAAUUUUAUUAUUAAAUUAAUUCAUUUGCUUUGCUCAAACGCGCAUCACACAGGCACAACAGAUUUAUUAAACGGAUAUAUUAAAAUAAUAUAAUGCCCAAACAUUUUAAGGAAUAGCUAAAAGAUGCAUAAAAAUUCAUGCUAAAUGUGUAUUAAAUUUAUGGUGUAGGCCUAUGUUGAUAUAUUUUUUAAAAGAUUGGAAAAAAUCCAACAAUCUGAUGUGUCCAUUGUAAGUAGCAUAUUAUUAAAUUAUACAGAUUACUUGAGUAUUAUUGUUUUUAUUUAUUCGAUAGGCUUUAGUAUGUGAAUAUGAAUAACGAAUAGCCAAUGAUGUCCUUGGACUGUUGUUGAUUCGCCAUUCUGGAUUCAGCUGUGCUGGCGAUCCGUGCGUUAGGUGAGUACUCUAGAAUUCUAAGGUAACAGUUAAUAAUUCAAACAUUAUGAAAUUUCCCAUGAGUUAAUUAAAGAGGUGCCACUAAACAUAUUUGUCAUUUUGAAUGAAUUUAGUUUCCACUGAAACGGGGUAACAAUCUUCCUGGUAUAACAUAAUAAUAUCGUUUUCGUGAAGGUGCCGAGUUGUGUAAGGAAUGCUAACGUUGACUGCUUCGGUCUUCUGCUUUGAUUAACGUUUGUUCUUUAACGUUAAUUAAAAUAAAUCACGGACACACCCGUGUUUAUAUUCUGUACAACAAUGGAAGAAAAAUACCAAUAUGAAAAGUGAGUCUCAGGUCAGUGCAGUACCCUUUUUAGGCGAACUCGGGCUAAUUCGAGCUAAUUUCAGAGAGAGUACGUUAACGGAAUGUGAGGGUUGUAAAUCUACAAACAUCACAACUGUAAGUUAAUGUCGCUCGGGGUGUUCAAAAUCCCAGAAACACCCUGUUCUGAUGUAUCAGCAUAUAGUAUCGGACAAAGUGAACCUCUGACGCUUAUCGUUGUUUUGGCACUUCAUUAUUGUAGCCGCCAAUUUAGGCAAAUACGGUUAGAAAAACUCAAAAGUGGAAUAAAUCAACUUUAUGGCUAUGACCUUUAUUUAUCUGUUGGUCAUAAUCAAAGAAUCAAUAACAAUGAUAUUAUUUAUAUGAUAAUGCAUAUGUAGUGUUUUUUUCUGGGUCUAAUAGGAUAUAUGCAGAAGUAUGUUAAAGGACCUUUAAUUUGACAGUAACG